AUUGAACGCUGGCGGCAUGCCUUACACAUGCAAGUCGAACGGUAACGGGUCCUUCGGGAUGCCGACGAGUGGCGAACGGGUGAGUAAUACAUCGGAACGUGCCUAGUAGUGGGGGAUAACUACUCGAAAGAGUGGCUAAUACCGCAUGAGAUCUACGGAUGAAAGCAGGGGAUCGCAAGACCUUGUGCUACUAAAGCGGCCGAUGGCAGAUUAGGUAGUUGGUGGGAUAAAAGCUUACCAAGCUGACGAUCUGUAGCUGGUCUGAGAGGACGAUCAGCCACACUGGGACUGCGACACGGCCCAGACUCCUACGGGAGGCAGCAGUGGGGAAUUUUGGACAAUGGGCGAAAGCCUGAUCCAGCAAUGCCGCGUGCAGGAUGAAGGCCUUCGGGUUGUAAACUGCUUUUGUACGGAACGAAAAGCCCCGGGUUAAUACCCUGGGGUCAUGACGGUACCGUAAGAAUAAGCACCGGCUAACUACGUGCCAGCCGCCGCGGUAA
rnacentral:rRNA from 1 species